ACGUGGUGAAAGAGCAGUAAGGUGUGAGUAGCACGUGAUCUGGGACGCGCCUUUCGUCUUUGUUGAGGGCGGAAGUUCUCGGACACGCCCCUCCCUGAGUUUUUCCUUAACAGGGAGAAAAAAAUAUCUCCCGGAGUGGCCGUAAAGCGGAACAGACAAUGGAGGAAGACAUUUUGACGACUCUAAUGACAUCAUCCUUUUGUUAGAGGGGGUGGUGGGCGGGGCUUGCCCUUUGUGGGAUUCGCUUGGCAGCUCUAAGAAUCCAUUCGCUUGGCUCCCGCCUGGAGUGACCUAGUGGGCGGAGGUUAGGAAGGCGUAUUAGAGACUGAGGGCCUUUCCACACAGCUGAAUAAAAUCCCACCUUAUCUGCUAUGAACUGGAAUAUAUGGCAGUGUGGACUCAGAUAACCCAGUUCAAAGCAGAUAUUGUGGAAUUUUCUGCCUUGAUAUUCUGAGAUAUAGGGCUGUGUGGAAGGGCCCUAGGCAGCGUCUAUAGGAGUAUACUAAUGUCAAGAUUAAGGAAGUUAUCUGGAAGAAGGUCACAAAGAGGUGCCCACAUCUUUGCUGGGUGGGCUCUGAAAACAAAGAGGAUAUUCCUGUGGCUUCUUUAAGACCUCCAGAGCCACAACAAAACCACACAGAGGAGCCCCCCCCCCCCUCUCUCUCCAGGCACACAUCGUUGAAGUGAGGUUCCAUUCCUGCCAAGGUUCCAGGGCCGGUGGUGUUUACCUGGUUGCCAUGGAGACCAGACGUUCCGAGGGGCCUCCAGUCAGUUGGCCCUGCAAUUCCCUUCCUGGCCACCAACAUGGGCAGAGGGCUCUCCAGGCAGGUCCAGUUGAGGCCGCUCCACACAGAUGCCUCUCUGGCCCAGGCCCCUCCGCACAACCCCCUCAGGAUGGCCCUGGACACAGGGUUCAGGAAGGUCAGGACGAGGCACUCACAUCUUCACCGGGUGUGCUCCAAAAACGCAGAGGAUAUUCCUGUAGCUCCUCCAAGCGGUUUCUGGGCACAAAAUGGGUCCUGCUGACUGGCCAUUCACUGGAGUGAGUUUGGACAAGGGAGAUGAAGAAGAGGAUCCUCUCCAUCAUCUCUCCAGUUAAACCAUCCAAUAUCAUUGCAGGUGAUAGUUGGCCGGCAGGACUCAUUUCGUGCCUGAAGAUUGCCACAACACGGAAAACAGGAGGUAACACGAUUACUUCCGGGUUUACAGAGAAUGUCAUCUGGCCACCUUCCUGAUUGCUGCAGGAGCUCCUGGGAUAAAGGUACUUUCUGGACGGGCCCCGAGACAGCAUGAAGUAAUGAGUAACAGGCACAUGCCCUGUUCCACUGAAAAGUAGUGGACCAUAGCAGGCCGACUCUUUACUGCUCUGCCAACUCCAACCUUGUGAGCCGGCAGGAACUGAAACGGACAAGGACCCUAUGCUCCAUCCUUUUAAAAUGCAGCAUUCUCAUCAAAUCCACUCUCCUGCCAGCUUUCUAGAAUGAAGCCUGCAGGGAAGCGGAAUCUCAAUGAAUGGGCCAAUACAAACGGAAGAAUCUGCUUUUUCACUUGCCACAUAAGCUAUUCCCAGAGCAAAGGACUCUGUGUGUCAAAGGAAGAAAUUUGGCAAGAAAUGUGUCAAGCAAAAUGGGACACACAACUGAUCCCUGAGCAAAAAGCACAUUUGUAUAAAUGUACAAAUAUCUGUGGAGAAAUGCUCAGCGAAGGUAGAGGAAACUUUCUCCAAACUGAAAAUUUCCACAAUCCCUGGCAGUUCAAACUGCAUUAUAUAGCAGUGUAGAUCCAGUGUAGUGUUGCUUUUCUUUUUAGCGGUCCAGUGCAUAAAAACUUUGUUUUGUGCACAAAAGUAUUUAAAAUAUGACAUAAAAUUACCUUCAGGCUAUGUGUAUAAGAUGCUUAUGAAACAUAAAUGAAAUUCAUGUUUUGA